CACAUGGCCCUUUUCAGGGCCACCGUAUUGCUUUUGGCUAACCUAA
rfam:Operophtera brumata OBRT01_Sc05917, whole genome shotgun sequence.